rnacentral:rRNA from 1 species
AACGACGCUGGCAGCGUGCAUACACGACGCAAGUCUUAACGAUGAAGCAUUCUUCUGGAAUGUGGAAGAGUGGCGAACGGGUGAGGAACACGUAAGAAUCUGCCCCUCGGUCGGGGACAACUCUUGUGAAACGAGAGCUAAUACCCGAUACGCUGUGGAGUGAAAGAAUUUCGCCGAGGGAUGAUCUUGCGUCUGAUUAGCUAGUUGGUGUGGUAAUGGCACACCAAGGCGACGAUCAGUAGCUGGUCUGAGAGGAUGGACAGCCACAUUGGAACUGAGACACGGACCAAACUCCUACGGGAGGCAGCAGUGGGGAAUUUUCCGCAAUGGACGCAAGUCUGACGGAGCGACGCUGCGUGAAGGAUUGACGGCCCGCGGGUUGUAAACUUCUUUUCUCGAACGAAGAAACACAAUGACGGUAUUCGAGGAAUAAGCAUCGGUAACUCCUCAGUGCCACAGCCCCGCCGUGU